CUUUCUUCUCCUUCCUUCUCUUUUCUUCUUUCCAUUUCCAGUUCCUCUCUACUAAACGAAAAUAUGUAAACUAAACACUCUAAUCCAUUUUGUACCGUUCUCUUGUUCUACUCCCAAGUUGAUUUUUGCUCACAGAUUUUCCAAGAACAAAUGACUGUUGGUAAAAGAAAUGUGAUAGUAGAAUGGUGAAUCCUCGAAUGGACAAACGGAUACCAAUUUGAGGUUAUCAUUCAGGAUGAUAGUGGCUUAGCAACGACAAUAACUUCAGACCAAAUUGGAGAACUAUUAUCUCUCACCUUCGCAAAAUUCCAUGAGACACAGUAUGCCAAGAAACAAAUUGGUUCCCUCACCCCGGGCAACAUAAGACUAUUGCUAUAUUGAACUUGAUGCCAACCUUAUACUAGUAAGGUUUGUUACAAAUUUAUUUCCGAGUUCCGUUGAAUUUAAGAAGAUGAGAAAGAGCAGGAGC